AUUAUUUUUGUGUUCAUGAGCAUAAUGACUGGGUGUUCAUGCCACUAUGUGACAUGCAUCUCCCUUUAACUUUGUCAUAAUGUUAACAUGUUCCCCAUCUCGUG